rnacentral:misc_RNA from 1 species
AACGCACAUUGCGCCCGCCAGUAUUCUGGCGGGCAUGCCUGUUCGAGCGUCAUUUCAACCAUCAAGCCCCCGGGCUUGCGUUGGGGCCCUGCGGCUGCCGCAGACCCCUAAAACCAGUGGCGGGCUCGCUGUCACACCGAGCGCAGUAGCAAUAUCUCGCCCUGGGCGUGGCGCGGGUGCUUGCCGUAAAACACACCACUUAACAAGGUUGACCUCGGAUCAGGUAGGAAUACCCGCUGAACUUAA